CAGGACCUCAGAUUCCCUGUGACACUGCUGCCUUCCUGAAGACUCCAUCCUGCAGAAGAGCGCACGUUUCCAGCUGACCACGUGCUCCCGGAGAGCACCGAGCACGAGUCUGUUCCUUCUGGUUGAUCGCAGAAAAGCAGAUAGAAAGUUUCCUCAGGUUGCCGCUUGAACCACACAUUGACAGAGCUGGAAGGGACUGGAAGGUCGUUUAAGCCUUUUCUACACAGAGUGUGGUCUGAGGACCAGUGGCAUCAGCAUUAACUAGGAGGCGGUUAGGGAGCACACCUGCUGAAUUGAAAUCCCUUUUAACAGGACCCCAGGUGCUUUUGUCAACGCAACUUAGUGCUUGAGGCACCCAUGCCUGGGUUCAGAGCUGUUUCCAUCCCCUGUGUGCCAUCUCAGGCAAGCGUGUUGGGAAGACCCAGAACAGUCCCUGGCAGUAUAGCUGACAAACAGAAACAGAAAGACAGAUCACUGCUGUACAAAUGGGUUGUUUCGUGGGGCUCAGGAAUCGCCGUCUUUCUCAUGGCCUUAGAAUGUGAUCCAGUAAAUUCUACAAGUGAUCCUUACUGCUAGAUAAAGACCUACAGGCAGGGGCCCCUGAUCUUCUCCUGACCCCACAAGAUGGACAGUGGGGCGUCAUGUACAAGGGAAGGUAGGAAUCAGGAAGAGGUACAUUUCUGUCUGUGCCUCUGGGCGGUGAAAAGGCGGAUAAUAGACCAUUAGGAGCUGGAGCACAGGAUUGAGAGGCUGGGGAUCAGUUACUUCUAAGGAGAGAAAUCCUGCCACUACCCUCAACUGUCCACAGCACAAGCACAGGGACCGGGGUGAG